UCCGUGCUAGAAACGAUGAUGUUGGUGUCGCACAUUAGACUUGUGUUUAAAUAGAGCUUUUGCUCGUGAACCAAAUAUGGUGGGCUGGGUUGUCUUUGCGGAAACGCUUAGGUGACUUGUCUACGAAUUGUAAUCAUAAUAUGCGUGACGGUGAAUCCUUUGCAGACGACUUGAAUGGGAACGGGGUACUGUAAGUGGUAGAGUAGCCUUGUUGCUACGAUCCACUGAGGUUAAGCCCUUGUUCUAAAGAUUUGUUC
rnacentral:rRNA from 1 species